rnacentral:rRNA from 1 species
GACAGAGGGUGCAAACGUUGUUCGGAAUUACUGGGCGUAAAGCGCGUGUAGGCGGCCCUGCAAGUCGGGUGUGAAAUCCCACGGCUCAACCGUGGAAGUGCAUUCGAAACUGCAGGGCUAGAGUCCUGGAGAGGAAGGUGGAAUGCUUGGUGUAGAGGUGAAAUUCGUAGAUAUCGGGAGGAACACCAGUGGCGAAGGCGGCGAUCUGGGAAGAUACUGACGCUGAGGUGCGAAAGCGUGGGGAGCAAACAGGG